rnacentral:rRNA from 1 species
GAUUGAACGCUGGCGGCAUGCUUUACACAUGCAAGUCGAACGGUAACCGGCCUUCGGGUGCUGACGAGUGGCGAACGGGUGAGUAAUGCAUCGGAACGUGCCCAGAGGUGGGGGAUAACGCAGCGAAAGCUGUGCUAAUACCGCAUGUGAUCUGAGGAUGAAAGCGGGGGACCAGGCAGCAAUGUUUGGCCUCGCGCCUUUGGAGCGGCCGAUGUCAGAUUAGGUAGUUGGUGGGGUAAAGGCCUACCAAGCCGACGAUCUGUAGCUGGUCUGAGAGGACGACCAGCCACACUGGGACUGAGACACGGCCCAGACUCCUACGGGAGGCAGCAGUGGGGAAUUUUGGACAAUGGGCGCAAGCCUGAUCCAGCAAUGCCGCGUGCGGGAAGAAGGCCUUCGGGUUGUAAACCGCUUUUGUACGGAACGAAAAGGCUCUGGCUAAUACCUGGGGCUGAUGACGGUACCGUAAGAAUAAGCACCGGCUAACUACGUG